GACGAACCGUGCGAACGUUAUUCGGAAUCACUGGGCUUAAAGGGUGCGUAGGCUGCGAGGAGGGUGGGGUGUGAAAUCCCUCGGCCUAACCGAGGAAUUGCGCUCCAAACCGCCUUGCUGGAGUGAGACAGAGGUGAGCGGAACUAAUGGUGGAGCGGUGAAAUGCGUUGAUAUCAUUAGGAACACCAGAGGCGAAGGCGGCUCACUGGGUCUCAACUGACGCUGGUGCACGAAAGCGUGGGGAGCAAACAGG
rnacentral:rRNA from 1 species